CUGUAAGAGUAGCAUCUCUAUUUGGAGAAUGCCUUCUUUGGAGUGCUCGAUGAGGUUUGAUCUUCAGAAAGGGGGAGAUUUUCAAGAGUCCUACAAUCAGUAUCUCAAAGCCUUCUGAAGAUAUAACCAUUCAUUGCAGCGCUUGGCUGGGUAAUGUUUCAGAGAAAAAAAUGUCAUCCUGUCUGAAUACACCAUGUUAGCAAGAGAGGAAAUGUACCUAUCGACAGAUGAACAGACAAAAAGACCCUGCAAUGCUUGAAAAAUAACUGGGACUUCUCAAUCAUUUCUAUCUACCUGACAGCAAAGUUCACCUGCGAAGCAAGGGCAGAGUCUAAACAGCUACAGCAUAAUUUGAAAAACACUGAUGGGAGUGGGGCUGUGGAGUAAGAACACCAAAGUGCUGAUGGAUCUGCUGAAAGUGGAAGCAGCCACCAGAAGAUGUCAUCCCCCUUAAUACUGCCCAAAUGGAACAGAAGGACUCUGAGAAAUGAGGACAGCAGAUCCAGGAGAUUCGUAUCAUCCUCAUGCUGCUAAUACUGCAGCUCCUUUAAGAUGGUAACAUUUCAUUGCUAGGAGAUAACCUGAGCUGGUAACUGUGCAGCAUCUUUUCAUACAGACUAGCUGGGGCCAUUCCAAUUGAGUAUAACAAAUGACAUAAGGAACAAUA